GAGGGUGACAGGUGGUGCAUGGUUGUCGUCAGCUCGUGUCGUGAGGAUGUUGGGUUGAGUCCCGCAACGAGCGCAACCCUCGACCUUAGUUGCCAGCAUUCAGUUGGGCACUCUAAGGUGACUGCCGGCUAAAAGUCGGAGGAAGGUGGGGAUGACGUCAAAUCAUCAUGCCCUUAUGACCUGGGCUACACACGUGCUACAAUGGGCGGUACAAAGGGUCGCGAACCCGCGAGGGGGAGCCAAUCCCAAAAAGCCGCUCUCAGUUCGGAUUGCAGGCUGCAACUCGCCUGCAUGAAGCCGGAAUCGCUAGUAAUCGCGGAUCAGCAUGCCGCGGUGAAUACGUUCCCGGGCCUU
rnacentral:rRNA from 1 species